rnacentral:siRNA from 1 species
AGUACACGACUUCUCCAGUCCCGU